CUCCUGGAAGUGACUUAAAUCCUGGAAGAGAUCUGAGGGGGUGAAUAAUGGAAUGGAGAAGGUUCCCCAAGGAAAAAAUUCACCUACUCCAUCCCAGAAGACGACAGUGGAUCCAGCCUGGGCCUUCAUCCCAAUGCUGCCGGGAGCUUAAAGCAGUGUGACCAGAAGUUCUCCAUCACCCCAUAAAGCCCAGCACCUAAGCGAUCCACCUUUGUUCCUCCCGUAA